UUUCCGUAGGUGAACCUGCGGAAGGAUCAUUAAAGUUAUAGUCCCCUGGCCCUCUGGGCUGGGGUCUUCUAUCCCACCCUUUGUUUAUUACACCUUUGUUGCUUUGGCAGGCCUGCCCUCGGGCUGCUGGCUCCGGCCGGCGAGCGCCUGCCAGGGGACCUAAACUCUGUUUGUCUAUAAUGUCUGAGUACUAUAGAAUAGUUAAAACUUUCAACAACGGAUCUCUUGGUUCUG
rnacentral:misc_RNA from 1 species